rnacentral:rRNA from 1 species
GUCUAUGGCCAUGCCACCCUGAACCUGCCCGAUCUUGUCUGAUCUUGGAAACUAAGCAGGGUUGGGCCUGGUUAGUACCUGGAUGGGUACUAAUAAAAU